UUGUUGGGUAGGGGAGCGUUCUGUAAGCCUGUGAAGGUGGCCUGUGAGGGUUGCUGGAGGUAUCAGAAGUGCGAAUGCUGACAUAAGUAACGAUAAAGCGGGUGAAAAGCCCGCUCGCCGGAAGACCAAGGGUUCCUGUCCAACGUUAAUCGGGGCAGGGUGAGUCGACCCCUAAGGCGAGGCCGAAAGGCGUAGUCGAUGGGAAACGGGUUAAUAUUCCCGUACUUGGUGUUACUGCGAAGGGGGGACGGAGAAGGCUAUGUUGGCCGGGCGACGGUUGUCCCGGUUUAAGCGUGUAGGUGUGUGUUCCAGGUAAAUCCGGUUCACUUUAACACUGAGGCGUGACGACGAGGCACUACGGUGCUGAAGCAACAAAUGCCCUGCUUCCAGGAAAAGCCUCUAAGCAUCAGGUAACAUCAAAUCGUACCCCAAACCGACACAGGUGGUCAGGUAGAGAAUACCAAGGCGCUUGAGAGAACUCGGGUGAAGGAACUAGGCAAAAUGGUGCCGUAACUUCGGGAGAAGGCACGCUGACACGUAGGUGAAGUGAUUUACUCAUGGAGCUGAAGUCAGUCGAAGAUACCAGCUGGCUGCAACUGUUUAUUAAAAACACAGCACUGUGCAAACACGAAAGUGGACGUAUACGGUGUGACGCCUGCCCGGUGCCGGAAGGUUAAUUGAUGGGGUCAGCGCAAGCGAAGCUCCUGAUCGAAGCCCCGGUAAACGGCGGCCGUAACUAUAACGGUCCUAAGGUAGCGAAAUUCCUUGUCGGGUAAGUUCCGACCUGCACGAAUGGCGUAAUGAUGGCCAGGCUGUCUCCACCCGAGACUCAGUGAAAUUGAACUCGCUGUGAAGAUGCAGUGUACCCGCGGCAAGACGGAAAGACCCCGUGAACCUUUACUAUAGCUUGACACUGAACAUUGAGCCUUGAUGUGUAGGAUAGGUGGGAGGCUUUGAAGUGUGGACGCCAGUCUGCAUGGAGCCGACCUUGAAAUACCACCCUUUAAUGUUUGAUGUUCUAACGUGGACCCGUAAUCCGGGUUGCGGACAGUGUCUGGUGGGUAGUUUGACUGGGGCGGUCUCCUCCUAAAGAGUAACGGAGGAGCACGAAGGUUGGCUAAUCCUGGUCGGACAUCAGGAGGUUAGUGCAAUGGCAUAAGCCAGCUUGACUGCGAGCGUGACGGCGCGAGCAGGUGCGAAAGCAGGUCAUAGUGAUCCGGUGGUUCUGAAUGGAAGGGCCAUCGCUCAACGGAUAAAAGGUACUCCGGGGAUAACAGGCUGAUACCGCCCAAGAGUUCAUAUCGACGGCGGUGUUUGGCACCUCGAUGUCGGCUCAUCACAUCCUGGGGCUGAAGUAGGUCCCAAGGGUAUGGCUGUUCGCCAUUUAAAGUGGUACGCGAGCUGGGUUUAGAACGUCGUGAGACAGUUCGGUCCCUAUCUGCCGUGGGCGCUGGAGAACUGAGGGGGGCUGCUCCUAGUACGAGAGGACCGGAGUGGACGCAUCACUGGUGUUCGGGUUGUCAUGCCAAUGGCACUGCCCGGUAGCUAAAUGCGGAAGAGAUAAGUGCUGAAAGCAUCUAAGCACGAAACUUGCCCCGAGAUGAGUUCU
rnacentral:rRNA from 3 species